AUACGAAGGGGGCUAGCGUUGUUCGGAAUUACUGGGCGUAAAGCGCGCGUAGGCGGAUUGGUCAGUUAGGGGAGAAAUCCCAGGGCUUAACCCUGGAACUGCCUCUAAUACUGCCAGUCUUGAGUUCGGGAGAGGUGAGUGGAAUUCCUAGUGUAGAAGUGAAAUUCGUAGAUAUUAGGAAGAACACCAGUGGCGAAGGCGGCUCACUGGCCCGAUACUGACGCUGAGGCGCGAAAGCGUGGGGAGCAAACAGGAUUAGAUACCCUAGUAGUCC
rnacentral:rRNA from 1 species